rnacentral:rRNA from 1 species
GACAGAGGCCUCAAGCGUUAGGCGGAAUCACUGGGCUUAAAGCGUGUGUAGGCGGAUCGUUAAGUGUCUUGUGAAAUCCCACGGCUCACCCGUGGAACUGCUUGGCAUACUGGCGGUCUUGAGCAACCUAGGGGCGAGCGGAACAAAUGGUGGAGCGGUGAAAUGCGUAGAUAUCGGGAGGAACACCAGUGGCGAAGGCGACUACCUGGCCUGUUCUUGACGCUGAGGCGCGAAAGCUAGGGGAGCAAACGGG